rnacentral:rRNA from 1 species
AAACUGCCCUUGGGUCCGGCAUAACCCCGGGAAACUGGGGAUAAUGUCCCAUAGGCUACGGAUGCUGGAAUGCUCUGUAGCUCAAAGAUUUAUCGCCACAGGAUGGGUCUGCGGCCGAUUAGGUAGUUGUUGGGGUAACGGCCCAACAAGCCUUUGAUCGGUACGGGUUGUGGGAGCAAGAGCCCGGAGAUGGAUUCUGAGACACGAAUCCAGGCCCUACGGGGCGCAGCAGGCGCGAAAACUUUACAAUGCGGGAAGCCGUGAUAAGGGAACUCCGAGUGUCCGUAAAUGCGGACUGUCCGUAUGUUUAAAAAGCAUGCGAAGAAAGGGCCGGGCAAGACCGGUGCCAGCCGCCGCGGUAAUACCGGCGGCUCGAGUGGUGGCCACUAUUACUGGGCUUAAAGCGUUCGUAGCUGGGUCGUUAAGUCUCUUGGGAAAUCUGCCGGCUUAACCGAUAGGCGUCCAAGGGAUACUGGCGAUCUAGGGACCGGGAGAGGUGAGGGGUACUUCAGGGGUAGGAGUGAAAUCCUGUAAUCCUUGGGGGACCACCUGUGGCGUAGGCGCCUCACCAGAACGGCUCCGACAGUGAGGGACGAAAGCUGGGGGAGCAAACCGGAUUAGAUACCCGGGUAGUCCCAGCCGUAAACGAUGCGCGUUAGGUGUAUCGAUGACCACGAGUCAUCGAGGUGCCGAAGGGAAACCGUGAAACGCGCCGCCUGGGAAGUACGGUCGCAAGCUGAAACU